rnacentral:lncRNA from 1 species
UUGAGACUCGGCGACGCCAACGAGGCCAACGUCUUGUCGUCUCUGAUAUCAAGAAGCUGCGAAUCAGGCUGGCUCUUGAGCUUAAGAAACGCGUUGAUGGCGGUUAUCGGUUUAUACUUCCUCAGGUAGAAGAUCGCCGCCGGGUAGACGACGAGGUAGAUGAAUGUGCAUCCCGCCACGAAAAACGGGUACUUGUUGAAAAAGUUGUCGAUCGUGAUCAGAAUCGACUCCAGAUCGAUUUUUCCGGUGGAUUGGUCGGAGAUUGAGGUGAAGGGUUGUGUUGAUGCGAGGACAGGGGAACAGAGGAUGGUGUGAGAAAGGGUGAGAGAGAGAUUGGUUUUGGACAGAAGGUGUAGCGAAUGAGAUAUGUUGUUGAGUGGAGCUGUGCGACUUUGGUCGGAAUUUGGAGUUUGAGGAGUGGAGGGUUUGGAUAGGUUUCGCGGAGGAGAAGAUGCGAGAAUUGUCGGAAGAGACGACAUCAUAACUAAAUGGCGACGAGAGACGAUGAGUGGAAGCGCCAAGAGGAUAAGAAACAAAAUAAAGGGCUCAUUCUUGUAAAAUUGGAUAAACACUAAAAGAUGAUGUCAAAACUGUAAAUAACUACUUUUGUCAAUUAUUAAUUUACAUAAAAAAAAAAAAAAUUGAGAACUAUUAAUUUUAGAUACAAUUGCCAAAACAAUUUCCCAAUUUAUCAACAAAUUUUCCCAGCUUUUUGUCUAUACUAUUUUUAGGGCAAUUCUCUUAAAUAACAAUUUUUAAGUUUUUGUCACAAAAAUAGUCUUCAAAAAGAAAAUGACAAAAAUAGCUCCAUUUUAUUUUGAAAUUUUUAAUAUUUAUUUUUAUUUUUUUUAAAUUUGAAAUCUUAUCAUCAAAACCCCCUAAUUCUAGAUUAGUUAACCCUAGAGUCAAAAUACAUUUUUACUUUUCGAUAAAACUUAUUUUGUUUAUUUUCUUCAUUGAACGUUAUUUUGCGACAAAAACUUAGAAAGAUAUAUCUUAGAAAAUUUCUCCUAUUUUUAUCACGUUAAUUAAUGAUUUUGUCUUUUCUCUAAGUAUUUUGGUUUCAGUUAAAUAAAAAUAACAUUACAUAUGAAAGAAAUUUUAAUAGAUUAUUUAUUUUUGCUUAAGUCUUAAGAAGAGAAAAAAAAACUCUGUAUUGUCAAACACUACUGUUUUGAUUUUCCAUCUAACGACAGUGAAUUCUGAUUUAUUCAUAAAAUUUAAGAUGAACAAAUUUAAAAUGUAAACCUAUAAUAUUUUACACAAAUUUAGAAAAAAAUAAAUACUUGCGUCUCUGUUUCCCUCCUCUCUCUAUAUAUUAUGGCAAAACAAACUGGAUACAUUUUACACAACACAAAGCUGAUCCCAUCUUAAUAAACUAAUGAGAUGAGUUAUGUUCAUCGUCUGAAGAUGAAGAAGAAGAAGACUGCUUUCGUCCGAAUAGUCCAGGCAGAGGCUGUGGCAGCAUUGGGUUCACAGGAACUGGAAACUUGUGAGCAGAACUAACCAUUGUUCUUUCGUUUAUCAUCCCUACUUCUUUGCAGACUCUGUCCACUACUCCGAGGAAGUCUCGAACCACCAAGAAUAUCCUAAACGGAUGUGCUUCUUCUUUAGCCGAGUUCCCAUGGAAAUACUCUGUGAUCUCUUUCACGAGAGACAACGCUACGCUCUCUUGAGCUUGUACUCUGAUGAUGUCUUCUUCAGCUCUUUUCAGAAACGUGUUCAUCGAUUCCAAAAACCUCUCGCUACUGCUGCUGCCGCUUUCUUCUCUGACCGUUGAUUGGAUUUGGACUGCUUCGUUGAUCUUGGCAAUGCCUUGGGAAAGCUUGGAGACGUAGCUGCUGAGUACUUCCGAGUCCAUUGCCGCAGCUUUCUUGACGUUGCCAAGCUCUGAAGAUAGACUUGAUACAACUUGGAGGCCGAGUUUCCUGCAUUUGAUGUCAUCCGUUUGUGUAUUGUUGUCACCUGAGAGACGUGUGCCUUCUGCUCGGAUGAUCUCUUGAACAACGAAAUGCAAGAGAGUUGUUUUCCCAUCAGCGCCUUUGACAUCGACCAGCUUGAGGAGCGUGUCGAGCUUGAACGCAUGUGCGUCGCCUCGGUUCGUCCCAACGUUCAUGCGGUUUCCUGUCUUUAGAACCGCUUCUAGAAGCUUUAAGAACAUUCUGCUGUUCCUCAGUUCCUCACAAGCAGCCUACCCCAUAAAAGGUUUGAUUCGUUACAAACACAAAUGGUAGCAAGAGAGAGAGAAGAUAGCUUUGCUUUAUACAUUACCUCAAGAGUCUGGAAAGAGUUCUUCAGGUAUUCAACCUCGGAGUCAAAGUUAGCUACAUAGAGCAUUGCGUCAACUCUUUUAAAGGCAAAAGGGAUGUCUAGCAUUGCCUUGAGGAACUUCUCAGCAUGUCCAAGCUUUACAGGCGAAUCAUCCUUGUACUCUUUUAACCUGCGCUCUUCCUCUUUCGUUGGGGCCAUCUUGAGUAAGCUCUCUAGAAGUUCAGUCCCAAGUGUUUCGGCAUUGCCUGAAAAGCAUAACAUAACAACAAUCAUUCAGGACAUCAACUUCUUAGAUCAUAGCUAAACAAACGCAGAUGAAAUGUGAAACUAAGUAUGUGACAGCAUAGGUUACCUUCAAGAAGCGCUUCACAGACUUCUUCAAUAGUGACAUUAAGUGCACGAAGCAGGAUUGCAAUAUUCUGAGCCUUCUUAGGGUCCAAGACUCUGUUCUCUUGAUUCGGGCUUGGGAGAGCGCAUCUUGGAGUAGUCUGGCUCUGAUUUGGUUUGGAGUCUAACGACUUUGCCACAAACAACGUUUCAAUCAUCUCUUCAUCUAAUCUGCAAUCACACCAAUAAAAUUUCAACAACCAUAUUGUGACAAAGAAACUAUGAGAUUAACUCACUUGAAAGAGCUUGAACGAAGCUGAUCCCAGACCAUCUCACGGUCGGAACUUGCUCUGACUUUAUCCCAGUGCAAAGCCUUAAGCUUCGGUUUAGGAGUUUCCUCUGCAGGCUCAUUGGCACUGAACGUCUCUUUUAGAGUCUCUUCUGGUGAAGUCUUUGGAAGGUUUUCGGAUGGGAUCACAAAAGGAUUCGAAGGCGGCGUGAGAGGAGGUGGUCGGGACGCCUUAGGAGUCGCUUGAUUCCGUCGUGCCCAUGUCGGAAACGGUGGAGGAGGUGGCGGAGGCGGCACUCGUGCAGACACCGGAGGCUGUAGAAUCUGAGAUGAAAUGUUGGAGAUUCGUGGAGAUACAUCUAAGCUAUGGCUAAAGUCUCUAUCCGGAGAAGACGAAAGAGACGACGACGAGGCAGACUGUGGAUCGUGAGAAGCUUUCUCCGGCGGCGACUUGUGAGAAGCUUUCUCCGAACGCAAUGCAUCCAACUCGUUAAGGAAGCCUUGUCCCGGGCGCCGCCUUUGAUGUAAUAAGCCUCUUUAAAUCCAUUCUCAACCAGCAAUUCAGCCACUUUCAUGGAGUUACCAUCAAAACUGCCUUCCACAUCAAAACAUGUAAGACAAACACAAAGCAAUAUCUUAAAAAAAGUAUGAAGCUUUUGGUCUAAAUCCUUACUUGUCAAGUACACAAACAACUGUGUUCUCCGGAUCAGAGAAUCCUCCUUUAACUCUCUUCACGAACCCCGACUCAUCUUCCUCACUAUACGGAACCUGAACCGAGCUCUUACCCAGAAACUUGAGACUCGGCGACGCCAACGAGGCCAACGUCUUGUCGUCUCUGAUAUCAAGAAGCUGCGAAUCAGGCUGGCUCUUGAGCUUAAGAAACGCGUUGAUGGCGGUUAUCGGUUUAUACUUCCUCAGGUAGAAGAUCGCCGCCGGGUAGACGACGAGGUAGAUGAAUGUGCAUCCCGCCACGAAAAACGGGUACUUGUUGAAAAAGUUGUCGAUCGUGAUCAGAAUCGACUCCAGAUCGAUUUUUCCGGUGGAUUGGUCGGAGAUUGAGGUGAAGGGUUGUGUUGAUGCGAGGACAGGGGAACAGAGGAUGGUGUGAGAAAGGGUGAGAGAGAGAUUGGUUUUGGACAGAAGGUGUAGCGAAUGAGAUAUGUUGUUGAGUGGAGCUGUGCGACUUUGGUCGGAAUUUGGAGUUUGAGGAGUGGAGGGUUUGGAUAGGUUUCGCGGAGGAGAAGAUGCGAGAAUUGUCGGAAGAGACGACAUCAUAACUAAAUGGCGACGAGAGACGAUGAGUGGAAGCGCCAAGAGGAUAAGAAACAAAAUAAAGGGCUCAUU